UACGGAGGGGGCUAGCGUUGUUCGGAAUGACUGGGCGUAAAGCGCGCGUAGGCGGAUCAUCAAGUCGGGGGUGAAAGCCCGGGGCUCAACCCCGGAAUUGCCUUUAAGACUGCAUCGCUUGAACGUCGGAGAGGUGAGUGGAAUUCCGAGUGUAGAGGUGAAAUUCGUAGAUAUUCGCAAGAACACCAGUGGCGAAGGCGGCUCACUGGCCCAAUACUGACGCUGAGGCACGAAAGCGUGGGGAGCAAACAGG
rnacentral:rRNA from 1 species